AACGAACGCUGGCGGCGCGUUUUAAGCAUGCAAGUCGAACGGCAGCCACGGGGCAACCUGUGGCGAGAGUGGCGAACGGGUGAGUAACACGUAGGUGAUCUGCCCCUGGGUGGGGGAUAGCCCGUGGAAACACGGGGGUAAUACCGCAUGAGGCCUCUGGUGUAAAGGCUGGAGGUGAAAGCUCCAAUUGGAGCGUCUGGGGAUGAGCCUGCGGCCCAUUAGGUAGUUGGAGGGGUAACGGCCCAACAAGCCGACGAUGGGUAGCCGGCCUGAGAGGGUGGACGGCCACACUGGAACUGGGACACGGUCCAGGCUCCUACGGGAGGCAGCAGCUAAGAAUCUUCCGCAAUGGGGGAAACCCUGACGGAGCGACGCCGCGUGGACGAUGAAGGCCGUAAGGUUGUAAAGUCCUUUUCCUGGUGAAGAAUAAGCGGGGGAGUGGAAAGCCCUCGUGAUGACGUUAGCCAGGGAAGAAGCCCCGGCCAAUUACGUGCCAGCCGCCGCAGUAA
rnacentral:rRNA from 1 species